AAAAAGACGCUAUCAACGCACGAAGAAAGGAUCGACGCCAUCUUCAGCACUUUCAAUAGUACAGAUGACGAAUAACCAAAAUCCACUAAACCAACAAUUACAUUAAAAAACAUAUAAAUUAAACUUAAAACAUCUGAAAAUAAUUGCAAUAAAUGCCAACUCUCUAAUUUCAAACCAAAAAAAAUACAGUAUGCUAACCCUAAUAAUAAAGAAACCCCCGACAUCGUACUUAUCUCA